UCAAGGAAGCUGCUUCUGGAUGCCCAGAGAAAAACACCCCAGGUGAUGCCGUUUUAUGAGCAUCCCAGGACCGAUCAAGGCAGAGUUGGAAGAAGUGACAUGACACGGGAGGAUAAGCUUGAAGUUGCCAUCUGCCCCAGGCUGUACCACCCACAGCAAGGUCACUGUGAGAGGACCGUUCCUUCCCUAUGUGCAGAGAGGGAACACUGUGAAGAAACCCAGUUCAGGGUUCCUCCAGGUCCCUGAACCCAGGAUCAAGACCCUCCUUGCCUCCUGCACCCCAACACCAUCAAGGCUCUUGAGGCCUGGUCAGAACCUACUUGCCUGGUAAUUUGAUGUUGACGGUGAACAAGUGAAGAAUGUGCUUGUGGCUUCAGCAGCUGGACUAGUUCUGGGGAGCUGGGAGGGGGAACUGGAAGAGGAGUGAAUCUGCCUUCUUGGAAACUCUUGCAAAGCAACGCCAAGGAGCCCUGGUGUUAUCAGGCCAUGUGCGAGCAAGCAAAACAACCUGGUUCUGAGUUGGUUUAGGAAAGUUUUUGCUCGCUAAGGAGUAGGCUCUUUGACCCACGUGGGGCUAAAAUUUCAAUGUCACCCACCUGUCAGUGGCAUUUUAAAUGCGGUAAGCCUGUCUGGAAUCCGUGCAAUUUCCACAGCCUACACACUCAAGCCCUGAAUCACGGAAUAAGGACAUGCAAACUGAAGGUCAAGCUGCUUCAAAACAAAGUCAGCUCAAGCCAGCUCAGAAGCAGAUAUAACCGGGUCAAGUAUGU